AGCGAACGCUGGCGGCAGGCCUAACACAUGCAAGUCGAGCGCCCGCAAGGGAGCGGCAGACGGGAGAGUAACACGUGGGAACAUGCCCUUCAGUACGGAACAACCAAGGGAAACUUUGGCUAAUACCGUAUACGUCCGUAAGGAGAAAGAUUUAUCGCUGAAGGAUCGGCCCGCGUCUGAUUAGCUAGUUGGUGAGGUAAUGGCUCACCAAGGCGACGAUCAGUAGCUGGUCUGAGAGGAUGAUCAGCCUCACUGGGACUGAGACACGGCCCAGACUCCUACGGGAGGCAGCAGUGGGGAAUAUUGGACAAUGGGCGCAAGCCUGAUCCAGCCAUGCCGCGUGGAUGAUGAAGGCCCUAGGGUUGUAAAGUCCUUUCGGCGGGGAAGAUAAUGACGGUACCCGCAGAAGAAGCCCCGGCUAACUUCGUGCCAGCCGCCGCCGUAAGAC
rnacentral:rRNA from 1 species